rnacentral:rRNA from 1 species
CCUACGGGCGGCAGCAGUGAGGAAUAUUGGUCAAUGGACGAAAGGCUGAACCAGCCAAGUCGCGUGAAGGAUGAAGGCGCUAAGGAUUGUAAACUUCUUUUGUCAGGGGAUAAAAUCAUGCACGUGUGCCUUUCUGAAGGUACCUUAAGAAUAAGCAUCGGCUAACUCCGUGCCAGCAGCCGCGGUAAUACGGGGGAUGCGAGCGUUAUCCGGAUUUAUUGGGUUUAAAGGGUGCGUAGGCGGGGUGUUAAGUCAGCGGUAAAAGUCGGGGGCUCAACCCCAGCGUGCAGUUGAAACUGGCAGUCUUGAGAUGUCGAGAGGUGUGCGGAAUGCGUGGUGUAGCGGUGAAAUGCUUAGAUAUCGCGCAGAACUCCGAUUGCGAAGGCAGUAUACCGGCGGCGAUCUGACGCUGAGGCACGAAAGCGUGGGUAUCAAACAGGAUUAGAUACCCUUGUAGUC